rnacentral:rRNA from 1 species
UGGGGAAUAUUGGACAAUGGGCGAAAGCCUGAUCCAGCCAUGCCGCGUGUGUGAAGAAGGUCUUCGGAUUGUAAAGCACUUUAAGUUGGGAGGAAGGGCAGUAAGUUAAUACCUUGCUGUUUUGACGUUACCGACAGAAUAAGCACCGGCUAACUUCGUGCC